GCUAGAUGGAUGACUUGGCUUAAAACGCCGAUGAAGGAUGCGACAAGCUGCAUUAUGCUCCGGCGAGCCGCACGUAGGCUUUGAACCGGAGGUUUCCGAAUGGGAAUCCUAGCCCGCAAGGGCUGGUCCGAAAGGACUGGGAACGCAGGGAACUAAAACAUUUUAUUACCUGCAGGAAGAGAAAUCAAUUGAGAUGCGGUGAGUAACAGCGAGCGAAAACCGCGUAGGGCAAACUGAAUUUCACGCCGCAAGGCGCGAAAGAUGUGGUGUUAUAAGACCGCCUGCAUGUUUCUUCUCUUGGGAAUCCAAACUCCACUGGAAAGUGGGGCCAUAGAGGGUGACAGCCCCGUAGGAGUAUCUGAGAGGAGAUUCUGGCGAGUUCUUGAGUACCGCACAUCGAAUAUUGUGCGGGAAUUUGGGAGGCAUCAACUUCCAACCCUAAAUACGUUUUAAGUCCGAUAGAGAAGAAGUACCGCGAGGGAAAGUUGAAAAGAACCCAUAACAGGGAUUUCAAAGAGCCUGAAAUCUAGCAGUGAAAUUGAGCUAGGGCAUUACGGUGUUCUAGCGUUCGUUUUGAAUAACGAGCCAGGGAGUGUAUCUGAGUGGCAAGGUUAACUGAUAAAGGUAGCCUAAGCAAAAGCAAGUAUCCCGCAGCCCGCAAGGGCGAGGGGACGGGUGUGAAAGCGCCUUGAGUCAUUUGGAUAUGACCCGAAACCGGGUGAUCUAUGCCAGGGUAAGGUGAAGCGCGGAUAAAACCGCGUGGAGGCCUGAAGAGGUUCUACGUGCAAGUGUUCUUGUAACUUUGGUAUAGGGGUGAAAAGCCCAUCGAACCCGGUGAUAGCUGGUUCCUAUCGAAUCUGGCCGCAGUCAGGUCUCAUGCGAGAUCGCUCAAAAGGUAGAGCUACGGAUUGGAGAUUUAGGUCCUGAAAGGGAUCGGUCUCUUGUCCAACUCCGAAUUUUUGGGCAUUGUAGACCAUGGGAAACGGGGUGUCUGGGUUAAGCUUGACAUCCGAGAGGGGAACAACCCAGAUUGUGGUUAAGGUCCCUAAAAUAAGCUAAGUGUCAAAGGACGAAGAGUGUCUACAGCCAUAGACAGCUGGGAGGUUGGCUUAGAAGCAGCAACCCUUUAAAAAGUGCGUAACAGCUUACCAGUCAAGGUUAUAGGUCUCUAAAACGGACGGGACUAAGCUUAUUACCGAUACCACAAGCAAUGAAAAUUUGCGGUAGAUAGGUGUUCUGUAAGGCUAGAAGCGCCUUCGAGAGGAGGCGUGGACCUUAUGGAAAUAAUAAUCCUGGCAAUAGUAGGAUCCUAGCAGAGUGAGAAUCUCUGCCGCCGAAAGGGCAAGGUUUCCUUGACAAUGCAAAUCAGUCAAGGGUUAGUUGGUCCUAACUGCGCUCCCAAUUGGAAUGCGCGGGAAAGGGAGACAGGUUAAUAUUCCUGUACUAUUCGAGUAUGUGCGGCGACGCAAGUUGGAUUUUUGACAUUUCAGGCUAGGCUGACAUGAACCGUCGUUCAUGUUAAUAAGAAUAUGUCAGGGGAGUAUCAUAACGAUGAGAACCUGAGAAAAUCUUAGAACAGCGGGUGCAUGCCCGUUCAGCUGAUGCCCGGAAUCCGUGAAAAGAAAAUCCAAAAAAAUCUUGAAUAACCAUACCAAGAACCAGCACAGGUGCCCCUGGGUGAGAAGCCCAAGGCGUGAUAGGGAUAAUUUAGGUAAGGGAACUCGGCAAAUUAGCCUCGUACCUUAGGUAUAAGAGGUCCCUGCUUUUGUACUCUCAAGAGUGCGAAAACAGGGCGCAGUGACUAGGGGGGUUCGACUGUUUAACAAAAACACAACAUUCCGCUAUCCCGAAAGGGUUUGUAUGGAAUGUGACAUCUGCCCAGUACCUGUACUUCAAACUCCGGUUCAACGGAGCUAAGAGCAGGCAAACGGCGGGGGUAACUAUAACUCUCUUAAGGUAGCGAAAUACCUUGUCGUUUGAAUGACGACGCGCAUGAGUGAUGUAACGAGACCCUCACUGUCCCUACCUAAAACCUACUGAACAUCCUUUUCUGGUGUGGAGGCCAGAGUUUCCCAGUGGGAAGUGAAGACCCCGUGAAACUUUACUGUAACUUGUAGUUGCAAUACAGACUUUUUUGAAUAGAGUAGAUGGGAGUUGUUUGAAGACCUGAUCGAAAGGUUGGGUUUAGACGAAAGUGUAACACCAUCCUGAAAAAUCAGUGUUGCUAACCUGUAAAAAAGGGACAACUAUUGGCGGACAGUUUGGCUGGGGUGGCACUCUGCUGAAAAGAUAUCAGCAGAGCCCAAUGGUCGGCUCAACCGGGUCAGAAAUCCGGUGUGGAGUGCAAAGGCAAAAGCCGGCCUGACUGGAUUCCCGACAAGGAAGAAUCCAGAAGAGAAAUCUGGGCUUAGCGAACCUCAAUGUCCUCCUUGGUGGGGGCUUGAGAUGACCGAAAAGUUACUCCGGGGAUAACAGAGUUGUCCCGCCCGAGAGUUCAUAUCGACGGCGGGGCUUGCUACAUCGAUGUCGGCUCUUCCUAUCCUGGCUGUGCAGAAGUAUGAUUUUGCUGGGCAAAAUAAUGCCCAGUAACUUGUUACUGUAGGCAGCCAAGGGUGGGGGUGUUCACCCAUUAAAAGGGAUCGUGAGCUGGGUUCACAACGUUGCGAGACAGUUGGUUUAAUAUCUACUGGGAAUGCAUUAGUGUCUGAGGGGAAGGAUCCUUUAGUACGAGAGGAACAAGGGUUCGGCGCCUCUGGUCCACCGGUUAUCCGACAGGGUAGGCCGGGCAGCUACGCGCCAAGGGAUAAGAGCUGAAAGCAUCUAAGCUCGAAACCCGCCUCAAAAAGAGACACACACGGGAUACUCAUAGAAGAUGAGUUUGAUGGAACUGGGGUGUAAG
rnacentral:rRNA from 1 species